ensembl:snRNA U1 U1 spliceosomal RNA
AUACUUACCUGACUGGAGAAACACCAUGAUCAAUAAGGUGGUGUUCUCAGGGUGAGACCGACCCAUUGCACACCGGGUGGGUUGACCCUUGCGAUUUCCCCAAAUGUGGGAAACUCGACUGUACAAUUUGUGGUAGUGGGGGACUGCGUUCGCGCUGUCCCCUG